AAUCCAUAGUGAGGACAUCUUCUAAUCAAAUCCUUAUACCUCUCCCAAGCCUCACAUAAUAAUUCAGAAUUAAAUUGCAUAAAAGAAGUGAUCAUUUCUCAUCUU
rnacentral:snoRNA from 1 species